rnacentral:rRNA from 1 species
GACGGGGGAUGCAAGUGUUAUCCGGAAUCACUGGGCGUAAAGCGUCUGCAGGUGGUUUCCUAAGUCCACUGUUAAACCUUGAGGCUCAACCUCAAAUCUGCAUUGGAAACUAGGAGACUUGAGUAUAGUAGGGGUAGAGGGAAUUUCCAGUGGAGCGGUGAAAUGCGUAGAUAUUGGAAAGAACACCGAUGGCGAAGGCACUCUGCUGGGCUAUUACUGACACUCAGAGACGAAAGCUAGGGGAGCAAAUGGG